CGCACCCGCACACCCGGACACCCCCCUUCCCCUCACGGCCCGAGAGAGCGGAGAAAUCCCCGUGUUUGUGUGUAUGUUCCCCAUCGUCUCCUUUGAUCCUAAAGUAUGUCAGCAGUCUGUAGUCUUGGGAAUUUCAUAGCAGCCACCUGUGGGAACAAUUAAGAAGAAACAAGGAGCCUCUGCCGUCCUGACAUAUAAUGUGCAAUAAAAUCUAGCCUCUGGAAGAAAAGCUUAGAAUCCAUGAGGGAGAAAAUACAUCCUCCUGGUAGUUGUUUAGAGCACUGAGAACCCUCUGUGGAUACAAGGCAUGAGAUUAUAGAUCUAAUAAAAAUGUCUGUAAAAUAGAAAGUAAUUGAGAUGU